rnacentral:rRNA from 1 species
GAUGAACGCUGGCGGCGUGCUUAACACAUGCAAGUCGAACGGAAAGGCCCAAGCUUGCUUGGGUACUCGAGUGGCGAACGGGUGAGUAACACGUGGGUGAUCUGCCCUGCACUUCGGGAUAAGCCUGGGAAACUGGGUCUAAUACUGGAUAGGACCACUUCUUGGAUGGUGUGGUGGAAGGUUUUUUCGGUGUGGGAUGGGCUCGCGGCCUAUCAGCUUGUUGGUGGGGGAAUGGCCUACCAAGGCGUCGACGGGUAGCCGGCCUGAGAGGGUGUACGGCCACAUUGGGACUGAGAUACGGCCCAGACUCCGACGGGAGGCAGCAGUGGGGAAUAUUGCACAAUGGGCGCAAGCCUGAUGCAGCGACGCCGCGUGGGGGAUGACGGCCUUCGGGUUGUAAACUCCUUUCGCUAGGGACGAAGCGUUUUUGUGACGGUACCUGGAGAAGAAGCACCGGCUAACUACGUG